GUCUAUGGCCAUAGCACUCUGAACGCACCCAGAUCUCAUCUGAUCUCAGAAGCUAAGCAGGAUCGGGCCCAGUUAGUACUUGGAUGGGAGAAUAACUUGUAUUCUUUUUAGUUGUCAUGUUAAUGGGUUGCAGAUA
ensembl:rRNA 5S_rRNA 5S ribosomal RNA